rnacentral:rRNA from 1 species
CAGGCCUAAGACUUCUUGGUUAUGAGAGAGCGCUCGUCGCUUUCCACACUUGUGAACUUUUUAUUAAACUCUUUUGGAUGUCUUGGAAGUAAAAGUAUUUUAAGUAUACAAACUUUUGGCAAUGGAUCUCUUGGUUCUCCCAUCGAUGAAAAACGCAGCGAAUCGCGAAAGUUAAUGUGAAUUGCAAAACCGUGAAUCAUCGAGUCUUUGAACGCAUCUUGCGCACGGGGGCUAUUCCCCCGAGCAUGCUUGUCUGAGUGUUGUGAAUCUCUUUUUAUUUCAAGUCUAGCGAUUGAUUUCGCCGGAAGUUGGGUUUGUCUUUGGGAAAAGACUCACCUCAAAUGGCUAGGUGUAGGAAUAGUGGGAAGGAACGAGGCGAGUGUGUAACAGCUCCGCCGGUACGAUGAACUUCUUACCGUGCGUAUAGGGCAAGCUCGCAGCGUGUUGAUCUCCCUGACCUGCACAUUCGACCUCAGAUCAAGUAGGGUUACCCGCUGAACUUAAGCAUAUCAAUAAGCGGAGGAUGAGAAACAAACAUGGAUUCCCCUAGUAGCGGCGAGCGAAGCGGGAUGAGCCCAGAAUGAUAAGCUCCCGUCAGGGCGCAUUGUAAUCUGGAGACGUGCCUCGUGCAGGGCGGCUAGGCUUCAUGUCUGCUGGAAAGCAGCAUCGGAGAGGGUGAAAAUCCCGUGCUUGGUCUGGCUAUAGCGCUGUUUGGUGGGGCACGCUCGACGAGUCGCGUUGUUUGGGAAUGCAGCGCAAGAAGGGUGGUAAACGCCAUCCAAGGCUAAAUAUUGGGGAGAGACCGAUAGCGAACAAGUACCGUGAGGGAAAGAUGAAAAGAACUUUGGAAAGAGAGUUAAACAGUACGUGAAAUUGCCAAAAGGGAAGCGCUGGCAGUCAGUACCGCAGGUGUUGCCGUGUCUUCUGGUGUCGCGCGGGACUGUGGGGUGCACGUGGGGCUCACGUCGGUUGCGCUUGGGGAAAAGUCUGUGUGAAGUGCUCGUGCUUCUCGUGCGUGUGUUUAUAGCACGCAGCGAUACCUGC